rnacentral:tRNA from 1 species
GGAGAACCUUGAAUGGCAGGUCUGCUAUCGUAUACAUUUAUUCGAGGUUUAUACUGUAAGAGUAUAAAUCUUAAAAAAUUGACAAGCUGCAUCGUACAAGAGUCUUGGUACUUGGUACUAGUUACUCUGUACUUAAAGAGGGCUUGUAGCUCAGGUGGUUAGAGCGCUACACUGAUAAUGUAGAGGUCCGUGGUUCGAGUCCACGCAGGCCCACACUUAUUAAUGGGGGAUUAGCUCAGCUGGCUAGAGCGCCUGCCUUGCACGCAGGAGGUCAUCGGUUCGACUCCGAUAUCCUCCACUUAAUUUACAUGCAGCAUAUAAAAAGCUUAUCAAACAAAUGGUUUGAUAAAGAUUGAAAUAGCUUUUAGAUCUAGGUACUAGAUACCAGAUACUAGAAACUACGUUGUUAGACGCACUGGAGUGUCAUUCGAGGAGCCGCUUGAAUGGACAAAGGAGCUAAACGCUAACAUAAAGUUCUUUGACAUAUUGUAAGAGUAGAACACAACAGAGCUCAUUGAGUAUUUAUACUUAAUGAAUUUAAUAGGUAAUAACAAAAUAC